AACUUGAGAGUUUGAUCCUGGCUCAGAACGAACGCUGGCGGCAGGCUUAACACAUGCAAGUCGAGCGCCCCGCAAGGGGAGCGGCAGACGGGUGAGUAACGCGUGGGAAUCUACCCAUCUCUACGGAACAACUCCGGGAAACUGGAGCUAAUAC
rnacentral:rRNA from 1 species